AACACUGUUAACCUGCGGUACCUGCGGAGGGAUCAUUGCCACACACGAUCCAAGAUCGACACUUUUUGUGAACUGUAAACCUUUACUGACUAGCUUGAAAAGGAGGAGGUCAAAGCCCUUCUUUUUUAGUCGGUAACAAUUUAAACACCAACCAAAACAAAACACUGAACUAUACAAUGGAACUUAAAUGUUAUCAAUGAGUUCGUCUCAUUAUAACGCUAGAUUAUUAAUUGUAAAACA
rnacentral:misc_RNA from 1 species